GAUGAAGAACGUAGCGAAAUGCGAUACGUAGUGUGAAUUGCAGAAUUCAGUGAAUCAUCGAAUCUUUGAACGCACAUUGCACCUCUCGGUAUUCCGGGAGGUAUGCCUGUUCGAGCGUCAUUUGUACCCUCAAGCUCUGCUUGGUGUUGGGUGUUUGUUCCGCCUCUGUGUGUGAACUCGCCUCAAAACAAUUGGCAGCCGGCGUACUUGUUUCGGAGCGCAGCACAUUUUGCGAUCCAGAUCAACGUACAGCGGCAUCCAAGAAGCCUUAUUUAACGCUCUUGACCUCGGAUCAGGUAGGGAUACCCGCUGAACUUAAGCAUAUUAAUAAGCGGAGGA
rnacentral:misc_RNA from 1 species